AUGGGAUGUCAUCUGCUCGCUUCCGUAACCUUUUUAUCAUCUGAUCCUGCAUUUUGUGCUACCAGCUUUCUACAUGUUGAUCUAGCAAGGGAAAAGAGCUCAUGUCCAUCCUUUGCGAACACUAUUCUCUUUAAAUGGGUCACAAUUACACUAUCCAUGGAUAAUAUAUUUUGCCCCUGCUUUAUGAACGAUAAUACAAAAAAAAUUCUGUACAAAUGUAAUCAUCUAUCCAUUCCCUCCUGCUUCUUUGCAGGUUUCAUGCAUAAUAUCAUGAUGUUUCUUAUGUCUUAUCUGAUACAUAAGACCUGGGCACCAGGGACACCGCUGGCAAGAUAA
rnacentral:rRNA from 1 species